rnacentral:rRNA from 1 species
UACGAAGGGGGCUAGCGUUGCUCGGAUUGACUGGGCGUAAAGGGCGCGUAGGCGGUUCGUACAGUCAGACGUGAAAUUCCUGGGCUCAACCUGGGGGCUGCGUUUGAUACGGGCGGGCUUGAGUGCGGAAGAGGGUCGUGGAAUUCCCAGUGUAGAGGUGAAAUUCGUAGAUAUUGGGAAGAACACCGGUGGCGAAGGCGGCGACCUGGUCCGAUACUGACGCUGAGGCACGAAGGCCAGGGGAGCAAACGGG